GUUUCCAGGGCGAAUGUUUCCCAGACCACCCGGUCAUACGCACGUUCUGGGAAGUAUUUCACAAACUCUCCCUGGAGCAGAAGAAGUUGUUUUUGAAGUUCCUGACGGGCACUGACAGGGUUCCUAUUCUGGGCCUGAAGGCACUCAAGUUGAUGAUCCAAAGCACAGCAGACGACAGCUUCCUUCCGGUCGCACACACCUGCAUCACCCAGACUGUGGAACGUCUUCGCGUCCUCCGUCCCUCACAUCAGGGGGAUGGAUACCCAGGACGUGAAGUUAACAGCACACCACUGGAGGGCUCGUUCCCAACCCUCCUGCUAACAAUAUUAACAUAAGUCCAUAAAGAAUGUAUAUAUAUGUAUAUAUAUCUUUAUAUUUAUA